CGCUGGGUGGUGUAAGCCGUUAACAUGCUUGGCUGCUAACCAAAAGGUUGGGGGUUCAAGUCCGCCCAGCCA
rnacentral:tRNA from 1 species